GAUCACUCACAUAAUGACCUCUCCACAGAUAAACGAGUACGGUAAAUCUCCAUUAUUUUUAGAAUGUGAGACCCAUUUGAGUCACCACGCUGAGCUAAAGAGGAUGCCAGAUCUUGCAAAACAUCUUGUAAUAUUGCCUUCCCUCUCCACUUCGUGGUGGGAGGUACAUAGCCUGCAGCUUAUGUUGCUACCAGGGAAAAACUCUCAAUCCCUUCCCAGCUGCUACUUCCUCUUCAAGUUUCACACAUUAACUGGAGAACAUUGUCCCUAUUUCUCAUUUCUUGGACUUGAACAAGAGUCUCCUAGAGAAGAGGCACCGUGGUCAAACAAUGAAAACUCAGCUGGAUAAGGCUCUGGCAGUUGGCUUUUUACUGAUGCUCUUCUUCACACUAGAUGAAGGAAUCAGAUGCCACAGAUGUCGAAAUAUUGAUCGAAAUAAUCAAUGUACCACAACUCAAACUACCUGUGAAACAAAUGGAUAUUGCAUUGUUAGAAGAUUUUCCAAUGGAGGAACUCAUUUCGUUACAAGAGAUUGCAGCAUGGCAUGCUGGAGUAUCACAAGCUUAACGCGUUUUAGAAUAAGACAAACGUGGUGUUGUGAAGAGGAUUAUUGUAAUACAUACGAUGCUUGGUCCCAUGUUUAUGGAGAUUAAACUCAUCUUGGUUUUGUCAGAAUUCAUUUCAUUAUUUUGUGGCAAGAUAUUUCCACUUAUUUCCAUUUUUAAUUUUUAUUACUUUAUUAUUUUUUUUACAUAUCUAUGUCUGUGUAUGUAUAAAUCAAUACAUAAUAAAGAGAAUGAACUGU